UUGAAGAGUUUGAUCCUGGCUCAGAUUGAACGCUGGCGGCAUGCCUAACACAUGCAAGUCGAACGGC
rnacentral:rRNA from 1 species